rnacentral:rRNA from 1 species
UACGGAGGGGGCUAGCGCUGUUCGGAAUUACUUGGCGUAAAGCGCACGUAGGCGGAUCAGAAAGCCAGAGGUGAAAUCCCCGCGCUCACCCUUGGAACUGCCUUUGACACUCCUGAUCUUGAGGUCGAGAGAGGUGAGUGGAAUUCCGAGUGUAGAGGUGAUAUUCGUAGAUAUUCGGAGGAACACCAGUGGCGAAGGCUGGUCUCUGUCUCGAUACUGACGCUGAGGUGCGAGAGCGUGGGGACCUAACAGG